rnacentral:misc_RNA from 1 species
CACUUUUCUAGGUGACUGAGAAGUG